UUUUUUUUGGUGUUUUUGAU
rnacentral:sRNA from 1 species